UACGGAGGGUGCAAGCGUUAUCCGGAUUCACUGGGUUUAAAGGGUGCGUAGGUGGCUAUUUAAGUCAGUGGUGAAAGCCCGCGGCUCAACCGUGGAAUUGCCAUUGAAACUGAAUAGCUUGAGUAUAGUUGAAGUGGGCGGAAUAUAUCAUGUAGCGGUGAAAUGCUUAGAUAUGAUAUAGAACACCGAUUGCGAAGGCAGCUCACUAAGCUGUAACUGACACUGAGGCACGAAAGCGUGGGUAGCGAACAGG
rnacentral:rRNA from 1 species